rnacentral:rRNA from 1 species
UAAUACCGCAUAANGUCGCAAGACCAAAGUGGGGGACCUUCGGGCCUCAUGCCAUCAGAUGUGCCCAGAUGGGAUUAGCUAGUAGGUGGGGUAACGGCUCACCUAGGCGACGAUCCCUAGCUGGUCUGAGAGGAUGACCAGCCACACUGGAACUGAGACACGGUCCAGACUCCUACGGGAGGCAGCAGUGGGGAAUAUUGCACAAUGGGCGCAAGCCUGAUGCAGCCAUGCCGCGUGUGUGAAGAAGGCCUUCGGGUUGUAAAGCACUUUCAGCGGGGAGGAAGGCGAUNAGGUUAAUAACCUNNUCGAUUGACGUACCCGCAGAAGAAGCACCGGCUAACUCCGUGCCCAGCAGCCGCGGUAAUACGGAGGGUGCAAGCGUUAAUCGGAAUUACUGGGCGUAAAGCGCACGCAGGCGGUCUGUCAAGUCGGAUGUGAAAUCCCCGGGCUCAACCUGGGAACUGCAUUCGAAACUGGCAGGCUAGAGUCUUGUAGAGGGGGGUAGAAUUCCAGGUGUAGCGGUGAAAUGCGUAGAGAUCUGGAGGAAUACCGGUGGCGAAGGCGGCCCCCUGGACAAAGACUGACGCUCAGGUGCGAAAGCGUGGGGAGCAAACAGGAUUAGAUACCCUGGUAGUCCACGCCGUAAACGAUGUCGAUUUGGAGGUUGUGCCCUUGAGGCGUGGCUUCCGGAGCUAACGCGUUAAAUCGACCGCCUGGGGAGUACGGCCGCAAGGUUAAAACUCAAAUGAAUUGACGGGGGCCCGCACAAGCGGUGGAGCAUGUGGUUUAAUUCGAUGCAACGCGAAGAACCUUACCUGGUCUUGACAUCCACAGAACUUUCCAGAGAUGGAUUGGUGCCUUCGGGAACUGUGAGACAGGUGCUGCAUGGCUGUCGUCAGCUCGUGUUGUGAAAUGUUGGGUUAAGUCCCGCAACGAGCGCAACCCUUAUCCUUUGUUGCC